GACGAACGCUGGCGGCGUGCUUAACACAUGCAAGUCGAACGGAAAGGCCCUGCUUUUGUGGGGUGCUCGAGUGGCGAACGGGUGAGUAACACGUGAGUAACCUGCCCUUGACUUUGGGAUAACUUCAGGAAACUGGGGCUAAUACCGGAUAGGAGCUCCUGCUGCAUGGUGGGGGUUGGAAAGUUUCGGCGGUUGGGGAUGGACUCGCGGCUUAUCAGCUUGUUGGUGGGGUAGUGGCUUACCAAGGCUUUGACGGGUAGCCGGCCUGAGAGGGUGACCGGCCACAUUGGGACUGAGAUACGGCCCAGACUCCUACGGGAGGCAGCAGUGGGGAAUAUUGCACAAUGGGCGGAAGCCUGAUGCAGCAACGCCGCGUGCGGGAUGACGGCCUUCGGGUUGUAAACCGCUUUCGCCUGCGACGAAGCGUGAGUGACGGUAAUGGGUAAAGAGGCACCGGCUAACUACGUGCCAGCAGCCGCGGUGAUACGUAGGGUGCGAGCGUUGUCCGGAUUUAUUGGGCGUAAAGGGCUCGUAGGUGGUUGAUCGCGUCGGAAGUGUAAUCUUGGGGCUUAACCCUGAGCGUGCUUUCGAUACGGGUUGACUUGAGGAAGGUAGGGGGAGAAUGGAAUUCCUGGGGGAGCGGGUGGAAUGCGCAGAUAUCGGGAGGGAACACCCAGUGGCGAAAGCGGUUCUCUGGCCCUUUCCUGACGGCUGAGGAGCGAAAAGCGUGGGGGAGCGAAACAGGCCUUAGAUACCCCUGGUAGUCCACGCUGUAAAACGGUGGGUACUAGGUGUGGGGUCCAUUCCACGGGUUCCGUGCCGUAGCUAACGCUUUAAGUACCCCGCCUGGGGAGUACGGCCGCAAGGCUAAAACUCAAAGGAAUUGACGGGGCCCCGCACAAGCGGCGGAGCAUGCGGAUUAAUUCGAUGCAACGCGUAGAACCUUACCUGGGUUUGACAUGGAUCGGGAGUGCUCAGAGAUGGGUGUGCCUCUUUUGGGGUCGGUUCACAGGUGGUGCAUGGCUGUCGUCAGCUCGUGUCGUGAGAUGUUGGGUUAAGUCCCGCAACGAGCGCAACCCUUGUUCACUGUUGCCAGCACGUUAUGGUGGGGACUCAGUGGAGACCGCCGGGGUCAACUCGGAGGAAGGUGGGGAUGACGUCAAGUCAUCAUGCCCCUUAUGUCCAGGGCUUCACGCAUGCUACAAUGGCUGGUACAGAGAGUGGCGAGCCUGUGAGGGUGAGCGAAUCUCGGAAAGCCGGUCUCAGUUCGGAUUGGGGUCUGCAACUCGACCUCAUGAAGUCGGAGUCGCUAGUAAUCGCAGAUCAGCAACGCUGCGGUGAAUACGUUCCCGGG
rnacentral:rRNA from 1 species